AGACCCGAAACCCGGUGAUCUAGCCAUGGGCAGGUUGAAGGUUGGGUAACACUAACUGGAGGACCGAACCGACUAAUGUUGAAAAAUUAGCGGAUGACCUGUGGCUGGGGGUGAAAGGCCAAUCAAACCGGGAGAUAGCUGGUUCUCCCCGAAAGCUAUUUAGGUAGCGCCUCGUGAAUUCAUCUCCGGGGGUAGAGCACUGUUUCGGCUAGGGGGCCAUCCCGGCUUACCAACCCGAUGCAAACUGCGAAUACCGGAGAAUGUUAUCACGGGAGACACACGGCGGGUGCUAACGUCCGUCGUGAAGAGGGAAACAACCCAGACCGCCAGCUAAGGUCCCAAAGUCAUGGUUAAGUGGGAAACGAUGUGGGAAGGCCCAGACAGCCAGGAUGUUGGCUUAGAAGCAGCCAUCAUUUAAAGAAAGCGUAAUAGCUCACUGGUCGAGUCGGCCUGCGCGGAAGAUGUAACGGGGCUAAACCAUGCACCGAAGCUGCGGCAGCGACACUGUGUGUUGUUGGGUAGGGGAGCGUUCUGUAAGCCUGUGAAGGUGUGUCGUGAGGCAUGCUGGAGGUAUCAGAA
rnacentral:rRNA from 2 species